rnacentral:rRNA from 1 species
GGCCUUCGGGUUGUAAACUGCUUUUGUACGGAACGAAACGGUCCUGGUAAAAACCUGGGAUCCCUGAUUGUACCCUAAGAAUAAGCACCGGCUAACUACGUGCCAGCAGCCGCGGUAAUACGUAGGGUGCAAGCGUUAAUCGGAAUUACUGGGCGUAAAGCGUGCGCAGGCGGUUUUGUAAGACAGGCGUGAAAUCCCCGGGCUUAACCUGGGAAUGGCGUUUGUGACUGCAAAGCUGGAGUGCGGCAGAGGGGGAUGGAAUUCCGCGUGUAGCAGUGAAAUGCGUAGAUAUGCGGAGGAACACCGAUGGCGAAGGCAAUCCCCUGGGCCUGCACUGACGCUCAUGCACGAAAGCGUGGGGAGCAAACAGGAUUAGAUACCCUGGUAG